ACCAGUAGUUCAUAGUCCCAUCCGGGUUCCUUCCAGAUGGCAGUUGUUUUAUAACAAGCCACGUAAUAUCAAUGUUUUCACAAAUGGAGAAAUUCUCGUCCCACCUGCAAAAUUUCUCAUACCCAGAUUCACUUUGAGAAACUGGGAUAGUGUCCUUGCGCUAUUGAAUGAAAAAAUUUUUCCUCGUUCAGGAGGUGUUCAAAGUUUAUACACCCUGGAUGGUCUUGCUGUGUAUGGCUCAGAUAAGCUAGAAGAUAAUCAUUAUUACGUUGCAGGAGGCAAAGAAAAGUUUAAACAUCUGCCGUAUUGGUGUUCUCCUAGAGUUCCUCCAGAGGUUCGGCGCUUAUAUGGUGGUUCCCAAUCUUCAAGAAAACCCAGGAAGAAAAAAUCAAGAUCAUUUCACUGCCCCAGCAAAAAAGUUACUUAUGAAGAAUACCAGGCUGGUGACCUUCCAGGAUGCCCUGU